AAGGUAGAAUUCCCGGUGUAGCGGUGAAAUGCGUAGAGAUCGGGAGGAAUACCAGUGGCGAAGGCGGCCUUCUGGACUGACACUGACACUGAGGUGCGAAAGCGUGGGUAGCAAACAGGAUUAGAUACCCUGGUAGUCCACGCCGUAAACGAUGUCGACCAGCCGUUGGGUGCCUAGCGCACUUUGUGGCGAAGUUAACGCGAUAAGUCGACCGCCUGGGGAGUACGGCCGCAAGGUUAAAACUCAAAUGAAUUGACGGGGGCCCGCACAAGCGGUGGAGCAUGUGGUUUAAUUCGAUGCAACGCGAAGAACCUUACCUACUCUUGACAUCCUGCGAACUUGUGAGAGAUCACUUGGUGCCUUCGGGAACGCAGAGACAGGUGCUGCAUGGCUGUCGUCAGCUCGUGUUGUGAAAUGUUGGGUUAAGUCCCGUAACGAGCGCAACCCUUGUCCUUAUUUGCCAGCGCGUAAAGGCGGGAACUCUAAAGGAGACUGCCCGGUGACAAACCAGUAGGAAGGUGGGGACGACAUCAAGUCAUCAUGGCCCUUACGAGUAGGGCUACACAC
rnacentral:rRNA from 1 species